rnacentral:rRNA from 1 species
CUCUGUGACUCCUACGGGAGGCAGCAGUGGGGAAUAUUGCACAAUGGGCGCAAGCCUGAUGCAGCCAUGCCGCGUGUAUGAAGAAGGCCUUCGGGUUGUAAAGUACUUUCAGCAGUGAGGAAGGCGGGUACGUUAAUAGCGUGCUCGUUUGACGUUAGCUGCAGAAGAAGCACCGGCUAACUCCGUGCCAGCAGCCGCGGUAAUACGGAGGGUGCGAGCGUUAAUCGGAAUUACUGGGACGUAAAGCGCAUGCAGGUGGUUUGUUAAGUCAGAUGUGAAAGCCCCGGGGCUCAACCUCGGAAUUGCAUUUGAAACUGGCAGACUAGAGUACUGUAGAGGGGGUAGAAUUUCAGGUGUAGCGGUGAAAUGCGUAGAGAUCUGAAGGAAUACCGGUGGCGAAGGCGGCCCCCUGGACAGAUACUGACACUCAGAUGCGAAAGCGUGGGGAGCAAACAGGAUUAGAUACCCUGGUAG